GUCUCCAAGUACAGUAGUAACACUAUUACUCUGCAUCAGCCUUCCUAGUUGACUUAUACCUGAUUUGGAAAACAUCUCCAUAGAUCCAAACCAACAUGGCCUCCUGUCUCCCAGUGUGUUGACAGUGACUCCCCGGUGGGAAGUAUCAACCUGUGAGCAAAAUGAUGUUAAACAGGCUGGAUAGAAUCAUUAUGUCUGCCAUCACAUCAGGCAUCACGUACCUUGGUUAAUCCAGAGGGAACCAGAUUCUUAUACCGAGUUAAUUGAGAAUUAAGAUGUGUAGUUUCGUGGCUCUGGAAAAAGAUCCCAAGGGGGCGUCUUUCCAAUUAUCUAUUAACUUGUGAUUUAUUGGUUCAGUUGUUCUCCUUUCCAUCCCAACCUGACCUCCUUCCUCCUCUGUUUCUGUUCAUUAUUCUCCCUACUCCUCUCCCCACAGUCGCCUCAUAUUUCCUGUCUGUCUCCAUCUCCCUCCCUUCCCUUGUGUGUGUUCUCUCUAGAUCUGCUUCUCGCCUUAGAGCAGUGAUGGGCUUUUCCCAUGCAGCUGGUUCUAAAUGGAGGCCCUGCUCCAGAAAGCUGAUGUUAAUGUUGACUGGGAUCACCGACUCUCCUCCGAGGCACAGAGUGAUGCAAAGGCGAUUCAAAGCCUGAACUCCAACUGAAUAGAAGAA
rnacentral:lncRNA from 8 species